rnacentral:rRNA from 1 species
UACGUAGGGGGCAAGCGUUGUCCGGAAUCAUUGGGCGUAAAGCGCGUGUAGGCGGCCUUGUAAGUCCGUUCUGAAAGCCCGGGCUCAACCCCGGGAGGCGGAUGGAUACUGCAAGGCUCGAGUACGGAAGAGGCGAGUGGAAUUCCCGGUGUAGCGGUGAAAUGCGCAGAUAUCGGGAGGAACACCAAUGGCGAAGGCAGCUCGCUGGGACGUUACUGACGCUGAGACGCGAAAGCGUGGGAGCAAACAGG